UAAGUAGGAUGACAAGGAGACCAAGGAAGCCCAAACAGGCGAUAGCAGCGAUGAUCGCCACAGCAACUAAUGCUGGAUAGUAACCAUCACCAUCUUCUGUAGACUUAGCUGAGGGAUCUUAUCGAAACAAAUACCGAGCUUUGGAAGUUCUCCAGCUCGAGUAGUGAUGGUCAGGACGUUGCUCUUCUUCUUGCGACCAUUAGACAAGUAGGCUUCUAGCCACACUUGAUAUUCCACAUCUGGCUUCAGUUCACUCAAGAAUAGCUUCCUUUCUAGGCCAGUCUUAGGAACCUUAAAAGUGUCAGCAUCUACUCUUUCAUCCUCGCGUAACUGGAUGGGAUCACAGGGUUUUGUUAGAUAACAGGGCAUCUGGUGCAGUCUGAAAUUUCGAUCUGCCACUGUGAGAGGUGCACCUAAAGCCAACCAUUGUGGUUUGAAUUGCCCUCAUGCCCUGAGAUUCUUAACAGAAAAAUAUAUUGUAUUUCUUUGAAGAUCGACUUUUACCAAUAAUAAUAAUAAUAAUAAUGUAUGGAAAGUGAUUCAAGAGGCAUUACAAGUAAGAGGAAAAGCAUUCUUAGCUCAGAGCUCCCAAAUUAUCUCAUGUCACUUCUGCUCCUCACUUCACUACUGCUUCACACAAAGAUUCAAAAUAUGUCCAUUAUAGUAUACUUACGUUGGAUCAGCUGUGAACCUAAUGAGUAAUUCACCAGGUAGGCCUUGGUAAAGUGAAGGUGUCGAGAA
rnacentral:lncRNA from 1 species